AUAGCUGCUCAAUGGUUGAUUGUGUUCGUUAAAUUUUUAUAUGUAUAUUAUGCUAUGUUCACUUACGUGGUUAGAGAUAUUAGUCGAAAAAUACUUAAAUAAGAAGUCAAACAAAAACAAGUUUAUAUGUUGGAUAAAGGUUAUCAAAAUUUGAAGUAUUAUAUAUCACUGAAGUAAAAUUUCCAAGUUGGCUGCCAUUUUUAAUCCAUGAAGGCCCAUUUCUGUUGCACAGUGACUGUGCUUGUGAAUGAAAGCAAUGGUCUUGGUAGUCACAUUUGUUAAGCUCGUUUCAUUUUCUACACUGAGAUGGCUGUAUCUG
rnacentral:misc_RNA from 1 species